UGCAAGUCGAACGGUCUUUCUAUGGAAGCUUGCUUCCACUGAGAAGAUAGUGGCGAACGGGUGAGUAACACGUGGGUAACCCUGCCCAUAAGAGGGGGAUAACAUCCGGAAACGGGUGCUAAUACCGCAUAGUUUUCUUGAUCGCAUGAUUGAGAAAGGAAAGAUGGCCUUUGUGCUGUCGCUUAUGGAUGGACCCGCGGCGUAUUAGUUAGUUGGUGAGGUAACGGCUCACCAAGACGAUGAUACGUAGCCGACCUGAGAGGGUGAUCGGCCACAUUGGGACUGAGACACGGCCCAAACUCCUACGGGAGGCAGCAGUAGGGAAUCUUCCGCAAUGGACGAAAGUCUGACGGAGCAACGCCGCGUGAGUGAAGAAAGGUUUUCGGAUCGUAAAACUCUGUUGUCAGAGAAGAACAAGUUGGAGAGUAACUGCUCCAGCCUUGACGGUAUCUGACCAGAAAGCCACGGCUAACUACGUGCCAGCAGCGGC
rnacentral:rRNA from 1 species